CAGUAGCCACGGUAACACGAAGGGGGCUAGCGUUGUUCGGAUUUACUGGGCGUAAAGCGCACGUAGGCGGACAUUUAAGUCAGGGGUGAAAUCCCAGAGCUCAACUCUGGAACUGCCUUUGAUACUGGGUGUCUGGAGUAUGGAAGAGGUAAGUGGAAUUCCGAGUGUAGAGGUGAAAUUCGUAGAUAUUCGGAGGAACACCAGUGGCGAAGGCGGCUUACUGGUCCAUUACUGACGCUGAGGUGCGAAAGCGUGGGGAGCAAACAGGAUUAGAUACCCGUGUAGUCCCUGUCUCUUAUAU
rnacentral:rRNA from 1 species